rnacentral:rRNA from 1 species
AUUAGAGUUUGAUCCUGGCUCAGAACGAACGCUGGCGGCGUGCCUAACACAUGCAAGUCGGACGAGAACGCGGGCUUCGGUCCGUUAGUAAAGUGGCAGACGGGUGAGUAACACGUGGGUAACCUACCCGGAGGCGGGGGAUAACCUUUCGAAAGGGAGGCUAAUACCGCAUAACAUCCAUGAGGCUUCGGCCUCGCGGAUCAAAGCUUGCCUCUACCUGUAAGCAAGUACCACCGGAGGGACCCGCGGCCCAUUAGCUUGUUGGUGAGGUAACGGCUCACCAAGGCUACGAUGGGUAGCCGGCCUGAGAGGGCGAUCGGCCACACUGGAACUGAGACACGGUCCAGACUCCUACGGGAGGCAGCAGUGAGGAAUUUUGCGCAAUGGGGGAAACCCUGACGCAGCGACGCCGCGUGGAGGACGAAGGCCUUCGGGUCGUAAACUCCUGUCAAGUGGGACGAAAGCCGGAGAGAUGAAUAAGCUUUUCGGUUGACGGUACCAUUGGAGGAAGCCCCGGCUAACUCCGUGCCAGCAGCCGCGGUAAUACGGAGGGGGCUAGCGUUGUUCGGAAUUAUUGGGCGUAAAGGGCGCGUAGGCGGCCUGUCAAGUCGGACGUGAAAUCCCACGGCUCAACCGUGGAACUGCGUUCGAAACUGUCAGGCUUGAGUCCCGGAGAGGGUAGCGGAAUUCCCAGUGUAGCGGUGAAAUGCGUAGAUAUUGGGAGGAACACCAGUGGCGAAGGCGGUUACCUGGACGGGUACUGACGCUGAGGCGCGAAAGCGUGGGGAGCAAACAGGAUUAGAUACCCUGGUAGUCCACGCUGUAAACGAUGAGCACUUGGUGUUGCGGGUA